GGUCGUAUUUUGGUAUAUCAUUCAAUUUUGUCUAUAAAUGUAUGUUAGUUAUUCGUUGAUAAGUUUCUGUCACACUACAGUAUGCACAUGUUUGCACAUUACAUAUGUACAAAAAAUUAAUUUAAGAAGUGGUUACGCAAUGUGCCAACUGACCCCAAAAAAUCGUACUGCUGCUUUUCUUAUGGUGACUCUUAAAAUCUGACAGCACUGCUACCAACAGCCAGCUCUUCCAUGGCCUGGGUGUUCCUCCUCCCAUGACAACCACCGCCUGUCAUAUCCAGGCGAACCAGAUUUUCCAUUGAGAAGCCAACACGCUCUUGGGCCACGUGAGGUGGUGACCCCUCUGACAAAUCAUCGCGGUGCACGCACCAGAGCCCCGGAUUCCCUUGCAGAAAUGGCCAAUUUGUGGGUCAACAUUUGGCAAAGAUCCCAACCCAAUCUUUCCAGCCAGCCAGAGCGCUGUCCAAGAUUCCGAGAAAUAAAUUCGAUUGCGGACUAAUUGUGACAGAAAACAAUAAACAAUAGGAAAUCUCUUAGGUAAAC